AUUGAACGCUGGCGGCAGGCCUAACACAUGCAAGUCGAGCGGAUGACGGGAGCUUGCUCUUUGAUUCAGCGGCGGACGGGUGAGUAAUGCCUAGGAAUCUGCCUGGUAGUGGGGGACAACGUUUCGAAAGGAACGCUAAUACCGCAUACGUCCUACGGGAGAAAGCAGGGGACCUUCGGGCCUUGCGCUAUCAGAUGAGCCUAGGUCGGAUUAGCUAGUAGGUGAGGUAAUGGCUCACCUAGGCGACGAUCCGUAACUGGUCUGAGAGGAUGAUCAUUCACACUGGAACUGAGACACGGUCCAGACUCCUACGGGAGGCAGCAGUGGGGAAUAUUGGACAAUGGGCGAAAGCCUGAUCCAGCCAUGCCGCGUGUGUGAAGAAGGUCUUAGGAUUGUAAAGCACUUUAAGUUGGGAGGAAGGGCAGUAAGUUAAUACCUUGCUGUUUUGACGUUACCGACUGAAUAAGCACCGGCUAACUCUGUGCCAGCCGCCGCCGUAACAC
rnacentral:rRNA from 1 species